rnacentral:rRNA from 1 species
GAUGAACGCUGGCGGCGUGCCUAAUACAUGCAAGUCGAGCGAACAGACGAGGAGCUUGCUCCUCUGACGUUAGCGGCGGACGGGUGAGUAACACGUGGAUAACCUACCUAUCAGACUGGGAUAACUUCGGGAAACCGGAGCUAAUACCGGAUAAUCUAUUGAACCGCAUGGUUCAAUAGUGAAAGUCGGUUUUGCUGUCACUUAUAGAUGGAUCCGCGCCGCAUUAGCUAGUUGGUAAGGUAACGGCUUACCAAGGCAACGAUGCGUAGCCGACCUGAGAGGGGGGUCGCCCACACUGGAGCGUAGACACGGUCCAGACUCCUACGGGAGGCAGCAGUAGGGAAUCUUACGCAAUGGGCGAAAACCUGACGGAGCAACGCCGCGUGAGUGAUGAAGGUCUUCGGAUCGUAAAACUCUGUUAUGAGUGAAGAACAAAUGUGUAAGUAACUAUGCACGUCUUGACGGUACCUAAUCAGAAAGCCACGGCUAACUACGUG